rnacentral:SRP_RNA from 1 species
UGGCGGGUCUCCUCGCAUGGUGAUUUUGAGCAACGGGUCAGGGGCGGAAGCCAGCAGCCCACUUGGAAAAACCAGUGCCGAGGGUCAGGCUCGCCACCCC